rnacentral:rRNA from 1 species
AUGACCAACCAACACAUGCGUCUCGGUGUCAAAUCAAAAUACCCUUUCCAACAAUCCUGGCUGUACAUGCCUACCUUACUCCACCAUGAUGUGAAAUUCUCUUGGAAAAACAUCUACAGCCUGAAGAAGCUGGUGAGUGAUCCGCCAAUGAAGCUGCCCGCCAAUUGGUCUCUCUCUGCAAUUUCCCACAGCUUUAUUGAACUGCAGAUCUUGCCGGCAGAAGCUAGCAUCAACCAAUUGCAGAUGCAGUUCAAGAAAGCUGUGGAAGACAGCAAAGAGGGCCACACACAUCUCACAAGGAAACUAGCAUCCAACACCGAGUAG